GGGAGCGUAGUUCAGUGGCAGAACGCUAGUUUUGCAAGCUAGAUGCCGUUGGUUCGAUUCCAACCGCUUCCA
rnacentral:tRNA from 1 species